AUUACAAUGACCGGACCUUAUGGCGCCCGUCCCCUAUCUUUGCUGUUGGCUUCUGUUGGGGAUUCGUGUUGAGGGCCCACAGGCAAAGCAAAGUUGACCCCUAUCUCUGGGCAGAUACGGCUAGCCUCGCGCGCGAUACGCAUAGCUUCCCGUCCUUCCGAUUCUGACAAAUACAUGUCUUCUCCCCCACCACGCCGUCCUUGCUCUCUACCCCACGGUACGGCCGAGGCAUGGAGUCCCUUGGCCGGACCCCCCUCUCGCUCUCCUCCUCUUUUCCAUGCUCUUCCCAUUCCUGCCACGGUCAGAUCCAACUCAUCUCGGAGCUCGCCUCGUCGUCCCGCUCCUUUCCACCCGGCACGACAGCCUGCUGGAGCGGCGCCUUAGGGCAAGUUGCACACGGUCGCGGGAGUGGCCGGAGACUGGUUGCUGGCUCUGCAUCCGGCCUUCGAGCGCCCGAUUCUCUCUCCCCAGAUCUGGACUCGGGGUAUCGGAGGCGCCCACGCCCAUGUCCGGCCCCAUGGAUUCGGAUCCGGCUACGGCAGCUCGCCCGUGGCCGGUGACACCGCCGACUUGCUGGAUGUUGCCGCCCAACAGGCUGAAUACUUUCUCUAUUGGUUCCCCCGUUCUAUGAGAGUACCUGGUCUUUUGUCGGAUGAUUUAGCUGAUUGUCCUGUACUUCUUCUUCACGUGCUACCAGAGCUUAGUGUACUAGUCAAUCUGCUGCCUAAUGUUUCUACUACUCCUUUCACCCCAUCUCAUAGGGGGCUUCUACGAAUCAUUGGAUGUGGUUCGCUGUUCAUCGGCAUGUAGCAUUUCUUCAGGCAGGUUGCUUAUAUUGUGGGUGCCCGGUUUUGUUAUUUUGUUUAUUUUGGUGCUUUCUUUGCAGGUCAGUAUCUGAAUAUUCAGUCGUCUAUAUCUGCAGAUUUUUUUAGUGUUCUGAAAUGUAAGAACUUUUGUAUUCUUUCUUUUUUGGAUCAAUUCCCCUUCUUUGAUUUGUGUGCAACCUUGGCUGGGUGAUAUUAACAACACCCAUUGUACUUUAGAUACCACCUAUUUUCCUUGAUCUUUGCAAUGAACCACCUUACUACAUCUGCAGGUGGUGCUCUAACUAUUAGCAGAGCAGUGUCUACUUCUCUGGGCUCUUGAAACAGGCACACUAGCACUACUAACACCAGUUAUAGUAUAUGCUAAAAGUUCAACGCCAAUGGCGCGGCGGCCUGUGCUUCCUAGUUGUUUCUUUCAAGUCUGUGCUCCAUUUUAUCUCAUGAAGUACAUUGUUGCUUAUAAACCCAGAUAUCACAAUUUUAGGUGUUUUUGUGUUUUCGUCUUAUCGAGUUUUCCUUUUCGGCUUUCCAGAAGGAGGUCACUUUCAUGGAGCACAAUUCAUUGUUUUCCUUUUGUUGCUUUUAAAGUAAUAGGAAGCCUUGUGCAAUUUAUUUGUGAUUUACAGAGUUGCAUUGUUUUAUGCAAGAGCAUCUGAAAUCUACCAUGCGUGCUAUUUGAACACAGCGAUGUAAAUACCUACCAGAAUUGUUUUCCCAUACAUCAUUCCUAGUGACAACAUGUUAACCAUUCUCAAUACAUUCAAGUGUGCUUAGUGACACAAGUGCAUGUUUCUAAAAUUGCUCUCUAAAUGGUGAGUUUUCAUUUAUUGAUCUGUAAUUUUAUGAAUGUUCUGAAAUGUCAUCAAUAUUCUCCUCGCAAUUGUUGUAGUUCUGGUUUGAUUCUGUCCAUGCCCAAGUAUAUUUGCAAGUUCUUCCUACCUGUGAUUUUCUGCUUGAUGCAGAUCAUGGGAACUGAUCUUUUAGGGAGCACACAAAUACCACGCAGGUACUUCUCCUUGUUACCCAUUGUCUGUAGUUUCUGCCAAAGUUUCGAAGUAUAUCUAUCACAUAACUGAAAUUAUUUGCAAGGUAUUAAACUAGAACUGUUGAUUUGGACUUUUCAUUCAUUGUGAGGCUAAGUCUACUUACAUUCCAAUACUGUCGGAAGCAAUAAAGGCCACUUGAGAUGAUUUUUUCUAGUUUACAUGUUGAGACUUGGAUAAACUGCUAGGCACCUGUCGUAUGUGAAUAUGUGAUGUUCCAGACUCUAUAGUGAACUGUAGGGAAGGAUGUGUGAUGUUGUACCUAGUAUCAUGUUCCUGUUUUUAGUUGUCUCAAUCUUCUCGGCUACGUCACUUUUGUUUUGUAACUAAAGCUUGUGGUUGUUGGAGGAAGUAUUGUUUAUCAUCUACAUUUCUACUAGUUUAUCAGGAAGUGUCCUCUUUUUUUUUCCUUUUUUUUUUUGCAAUUUUACUAGAUGUGAAAGGUACCAGCUACAACUUACAAUGAGGUCGUUUAUCUUUUCAUGCAUUAUCGGAGAGCCGCCAACCUCGUGCUGAAGAAAAAAAUGCAUGCCUGCAUCUGCAAGAGGACAGCGAUGGGAGAUCCUGUCUGUACCAGAAUAUUGUUGUAUGACUUACCGGGAUAGUCAAAGGAUGUUGUUUUGAUUUUUGAAGGCUUGUAGCCUGUCCCAAAAGCAGAAGGAUGAAUUGUUUUGUUUUGUUUGGCUAUGCAGUGAUUAGUCUAACCCUCUAGAUAGAAAGGGAGUUUAAACUAAAUUUAGUAUUCUUCCCGUUCUAAGGGAUGGCUCUGAAUCUGAACUUGUAUUACUGCGUUAUGAUAACUUAUGUUUGUGAACCGAA